UACGGAGGAUGCGAGCGUUAUCCGGAUUUAUUGGGUUUAAAGGGUGCGUAGGCGGUCCGGAAAGUCAGCGGUAAAAGCCCGGGGCUCAACCCCGGCGAGCCGUUGAAACUGUCGGACUAGAGACGGCGAGAAGUACGCGGAAUGCGCGGUGUAGCGGUGAAAUGCAUAGAUAUCGCGCAGAACUCCGAUUGCGAAGGCAGCGUACCGGCGCCGGACUGACGCUGAGGCACGAAAGCGUGUGUAUCGAACAGG
rnacentral:rRNA from 1 species